UACGUAGGUGGCAAGCGUUGUCCGGAUUUAUUGGGCGUAAAGAGCGCGCAGGCGGUUCGUUAAGUCCGAGGUGAAAUCUCCCGGCUCAACUGGGAUAGGUCUUCGGAUACUGGCGGACUUGAGGAGAGCAGAGGUGAGUGGAAUUCUCGGUGUAGUGGUGAAAUGCGUAGAGAUCCGGAAGAACACCGGUGGCGAAGGCGGCCUGCUGGGUAGUGGCUGACACUGAGGCGCGACAGCGUGGGGAGCAAACAGG
rnacentral:rRNA from 1 species